AAUCAAAGCAGAACCCGACGCCCAGCAGAGUGGACUCUAAAGCAGAACUCAACGCUCAGCAGAGUGGCUUCAAAAGCAGAACUCGACGCUCAGCAGGU